GACGAACGCUGGCGGCGUGCUUAACACAUGCAAGUCGAACGGAAAGGCCCUGCUUUUGUGGGGUGCUCGAGUGGCGAACGGGUGAGUAACACGUGAGUAACCUGCCCUUGACUUUGGGAUAACUUCAGGAAACUGGGGCUAAUACCGGAUAGGAGCUCCUGCUGCAUGGUGGGGGUGGGAAAGUUUCGGCGGUUGGGGAUGGACUCGCGGCUUAUCAGCUUGUUGGUUGGGUAGUGGCUUACCAAGGCUUUGACGGGUAGCAGGCCUGAGAGGGUGACCGGACAAAUUGGGACUGAGAUACGGCCCAGACUCCUACGGGAGGCAGCAGUGGGGAAUAUUGCACAAUGGGCGGAAGCCUGAUGCAGCCACGCCGUGUGCGGGAUGACGGCCUUCGGGUUGUAAACCGCUUUCGCCUGUGACGAAGCGUGAGUGACGGUAAUGGGUAAAGAAGCACCGGCUAACUACGUG
rnacentral:rRNA from 1 species